CUGCUCUGAGAUAAAUCUUGAAAAUCACUGCCUUCCCCAAAGUGCCAAUGGGAAUUGGACUGGACUAUGAGAGGGAAACAGGGGACCAGAAGAUUUUCCUGGGCUGCUCCCCACAAAGGAUGAUUAACGCCAGCCCUGCAUUCAGAUCCAAACUCCACAAACAGUCUCUGGGAAUUGUGCUGGGCACGGUGCCUUUUGUCAGACAUCAUAUUAUUCAGUCCUUACAAGGUGUUACUUCCCCUUCUUUUCAGAUGAGAAAAUGAAAGUGAAAAGAAGUUAAGUAACUUGUCCAAGGUCACACAGCUAGUGGAGCUGGGACUAGAGACAGAUCACAUGAUUCUGAGAUUUGUUCUCAUUCUCCAGGAAUGGCUGCUGGUCAUCCUGAGUGGCUAACAACACCCCCAGGGAAAUCAACCCUAGGGUGCUGGACGGACUCUGCAGAGAUGUCAGAUCCCACUUUUGGACUAAUGGACAGCAGGCAGCUGGCUUCUGCUCCACCAUUUGCUCAGCACCAAGGCCUGGGACAACUUAUUGGUUCCUUACAAAGCCACAGCAGAGCACAAUCAUGGAGGAUCCAGGAUUGCAUAGAAGGAAGCAGCCAAGCAUUGGAGGUCGACAUGCCUGUGCCCAAAUCCCACGUGUUAUGUCCUGUGUGGGUUGACACUGGGAUGGCUGGUGACCUGCUCCUUGUGUUCACACCCUGUGUAGUGGGGGUGCCUCCCAAGUGUGGGCUGGCCUAGCAACUUGCUUCUAACCAAAGGUGACAGGGUGUCACUUCUAAGAUUAGGUUUCAAGAGAUUGUAGCCUCCCUUACAAGCAGAUUCUUUAUUGCCUUCUCGGGUCACACACAUUGAUAAAGUAAGCAGGCCCAUGUGGCAAGGAACUGACAGUGACCUCCAGCCAACAGCUGGCAGGAACUGAGGCCCUUGGUCUAACUGCUCAGAUGGAACUGAAUUCUGUCAACUGCGGAAUGCCUUAGAGGCAGGUCCUUGCCCGGCUGAGCUUCCAGAUGAGCCCCCAGCCCUAGCUGACACCUGGACUGCAGCCUCAUAAGAGACCCUGAAGCAGAGGAUUCUGCAGAGACACACCCAGAUUCCUGAGGCACAGAAACUGUGAGAUAAUAAAUGUGUUUUUGCUGUUGU
rnacentral:lncRNA from 1 species